CGCCGCAUCGCGCCGGCCUGGAGGUUUUUGAGAGGCAGCUGCAGCUGGCUGUGUCUCUAAGGAAGUCCUUGGCGAUCCACUGCUGAGAUGCGGAGGGCGAUCUGCUGAAGAUCAUGAAAAAAUGGGUGCCUCCAGACUACAAGAUUCACAGGCACUGCUUCACCGGCAGCUACCGGGUCGUCAAGCCCCUGCUGGAGCUCUUUCCCACCAUGUCGGUGGGGUUCACGGCCGUCCUGACCUGCUCCUCUGCCCAGGAGAGCUGGCAGGCUGUGAGAGAGAUCCCGCUGGAGAGGAUCGUCAUGGAAAGCGAUGCCCCUCAUUUCCUGCCACGACAGGUAGGGCCAUCUUCAGGCUGAGCUGAGGCUCUGGGAGAGGGUGGGAGGCGGGCGGUCACCGCACGGGGCCGGCAGGACCC